CGCCGAGGGCUCCGCAGCCGCCGCUCCCCGCCCGAGGGGAGGUUUUCCCGCCCAGCGCUCUGUGGGGGCUCUGAGGGCGGAACCGUUGGCGCCCCCCGCGCGCGGGCCUCGCGCCGGCAGGAGGCGGGAAGGCCGCCCCCGGUAGCGAUGCGCGACGGGCACCGGGAAACGUAGGGUCGGCCCCAACAGCGCGGAGGGAAAAGGCGUCCCGAAAAGGUGAAGCUUACCCUCUGGGGACUUCCAUGAACCCAGGCAGGACAAACUGCAAAGAAAUCCUCCAGCAAAAGGAAAAGGGUUUCUUGAGGAUACAGUUUUACCUCCAGUAAUGAUUUAUUUGGAUCCAGCUGGGUCACCUGUAAAGACAAGAAUGAACAGAUAAGUAUUUCAAUGGAUGUCUGUGACACACAUAGCAGAAGGGGCUUGUCAACUUACACUGCAUUUUUAAGAGGCUGUAUGCCACGAAGCCUAAGAAAUUCCAGAGGUCCUCCUGCAUUGUUGAUGGAAGCAUUUAGGCCAUCCUCUAACUGCAGAGCACAAUUGCAGGAAAGGAGUGGAAAAAAGCAACUGAUCCGAAGCAGGAAAAGACCAACAGACUGCAGUUUAGGAGAACAUUCACGAGUGCUGCUCCUCUUGAGUUUCCUUUGUGGCUGUCAGAUACGACAUUUAAAGAAGAAAAGAAAAAAAGGUGCUGGAAGCUAGAACUGCUAUAUCAUCAUGGCAAAAUAAUAAUAAUUUCAAAACCCUGAUAUUUGACAGCAGAGAAGCAGAAAAGGAAGACAGGGCCUACAGAUAUAAAGCUCCUUACUGCAAAGUUAUAAAAAUAGCCAGUAAAUCCCUGCCCAGUACAGACAGACACACUAGCAUAUCUUUGCCAAUAGUUGUAGUAGUGAAAAGGUGAACUGAUGUAUGUUACUGUUUUGGAGUGGUUUCUUUCCAUUUACGUAUUUUUUACAUCUCCAUCCAGACAUUAAUUAGGAAAGACAUUUUUUCUCAUGCUGCAGCUUCUAGGAAGAAGGGAUGUCAACUAAGAUCAGACAGCAAAAAUUCUGACUUUGCAGGUCUCCAUUUUUCUACAGUUUAUCUUCAGCAAGCCUGUUUACAUCAGUUUUUCCAGUUUAAAUAUUCUUAAAUCUCUCUUUUACGGAGUGUGUCAACAGCCAUAGUUUGAAGCAAAUUGAAGUUUUUAUUUGGAUUUGUAAAAGUACAAUUUUUCAAGCCGUUGUAGGUAUUUAAAUUCCACCUUGAAGUCUAACUUGAGAGCAGGAGUGCUAGUGUAGCAUAACUACAAUAAAUACGAUGAGAGACCUACUGUUACUUAAAAGUGGACAAGUUGGACCAGCUGUGUAACAGUCAAUGCUUUUACAGUAAUAAAUGUUGACAGCAAAAAUAAAAAGAAUGCAUUACUGAGACAUCAUCAAAUGAGCCUUGUCACUACAUGGAAACUCCACCCUGUAUAAGCUUGUCAAAAAGUGUUACUGUAAUCCUUUGAGAAGCCUCCUCCUCAGGCAACAGAGAAAAAUGCUUAGGAUCAGCCCAGAACAGGUGUGUUGUACUGUAAUGCCAGUGUUUAAUCACAGAUCUCUUCACAUUAAUCUCACAAAGGAACUAACUUGGAUCUAUGUGGGCCCAUCAUGCAAUGCUGAGAUGAUUAUUUAACUAUCAAAUUAGAGAAAGAAAGCAAACAGAAUAUUUACAAAUGGACAUUCCAGGGUGUACAAUAUUUUACAAUUAUAAUUUUCUUGUCAAAGUCCAGCAGCAGGUACUGACACUUAAGAGGAACUGAUACCAUGCACUCCUUUCAAAGUCAAUCCCUGAUAAAUAUCAGUUCACACCUUGAUCAACAUUGGCAGAGGCCAGUUCUCUGCUUUGAUACCCUCUUUCACUUACAGAAGAAACUCUUCAGUGGAAUUUAUUUCCUCUUUGAAAAAAUCCCCAACCCUGCUGCCCAAACAAUAGUUAAUGUAUAAACAUUUGUAGUGCGGACCAGAGGAGUAGGCAUGGUUACAAAAGCAAAGUAUUUCCAUUGGACGUAUAAAAUCAUUUGUGCAGCCUUUUAUACCACUAGGAGCCUGAAACUCACAGGACUAACUAUUUCCCUGGGAGCAGGUAAACCACUGUUACUUUAUAUUAAAUGCAUCUAUUAACUUAUCAGAAUCAUUUUGCAUACGCAGCUUGAGGCUGGAUCAGCAGACCCUAGACCUGAGCACCUUGACAAUGGGGGGACCAUAUCCGGCCAGCCGGCCUUGCUGCGGUUGUUGCCAUUGACUCUACCACUGAACCAUCUAUUGGCCACUUCUUACCAAAAGCGCCACAGUAGUACAACAUCAGUGUGUUGUUGAUCAUGUUCUUAUUUGUAGCUUUUUACUAUGGCAAUUUAAGUAACAAACUUAUAAAAACAGACAGUGUGACAGCUAGACCAUGUGUCUGGCACAUCAACAGCGUGGCCCAAAAGAGGGAGUGGGUUUCUGAAAUGUCGUCUGGUCCACACAGCUGUCACACAGCAAGCAACAGGCUCAGUGGUAUGUGAACGGCUCAGGAGCCCUGGAGAGAAAAGGGAGAAGGGAUGCCAGAUUUGUCCUACUUUAAGACAGCUUGGGAGAGAGAACAGGUGCCUAAAUUUUGCACCACUUGCACCUCAAGACAAGCAAGCUGGAUUACUCUGACUAUGUGUACACGUCUCAGUAUUUUUUAACAUAUUUCUUUGGAGACUAUGUAAGAAAAAGCUUAACCAAACACUACAGAUAAAUCUUUAAAUCUAAUCAGUGGUUAAAUGAUGGAAUGACACCAUGGAAAUAUGUCCCAUUUUGCCUAAUUAAAAUUGUAUGAGGCUAAAUCAGUAAAUUUUAUUAAUACAUGGAUGCAAAAGCACAGGAUUUAGCCAGCCAUACGAUUACCUCCAGCAACAAAACGACUCACGUUGCUCAGGUGAGGUGCGUUGGUGAUGGUGUUCUGAGCAUCCAGCCUACAAUACCUUGAUGAUCCACAAGCCAGUGACGCCUCAACAGCUACAACCAGCAUCACAACAAACACCUGUACCAUUCGAAGGCUGUGGUAAUAGUCAUCCUGUACUGAAAUAACCAUCAGAGGGCACUGCAAAACAUGCUGUGCUAAACUGAAUUAUGCAAUAGCUGUGUUUGAAGCUUUCAUGGGCAUGCAAGUUAAAAAUCCAAAAUGGAGAAGUUCAGCUGCAUAAACUGACUCACUAAUGCUGACAGGGUGUUAUUUAUUUAAAAGUGUUUUCAGUUCCAUUUUUCUCUUCACACACUUCUGUUUACAGCAGAGCUAUACAGGUGACUUCUCCUUUUAAAGCACAAAAGAAUUCUCAGCUUAUCUUCUUGUGGUUUUACCAUGACUUACUGUUGCUAUUAAGAAAACAGUAACAGAAACCGGACCUGUAUCCUGUUUGCUAUUGCCAUAUUUGGGAAAAACAUGCACCAACUGCAGUAAGACCUUAAAAAACAAAAGGUGAUGAUAUUUGAAUGCUGUAAGCUGUCAAGUACAAGAAAGCUACAUGUUAUGUAGCAAACCACAAACACUUUUUUUUUUUUCAGGUGAAAGCCUUCCACUGAGUACAGUCUGCUCGCCAAAUUCUCCUCUCUCUAGAAUACCUAUUAGUCAUUCCUCAUCUUUAAGUUCCCUGUUUCAAAGGCAGAAGUUUCUGAGGUCAACUUUCCUGCAUGCUUGUAACAAGUGAAGCCAAGUUACAAGUAAAUAUUUUAUUUGUGUAUAGAACCCACAGCAUCUGAAAAUCUGCUGCCCCUUAAGUUCAUAAAAUUUUCCAUUCGUCUUCUGAACGUCAAGGUGUAUCAGGAAAAACAAAAUAAAACAAUAAAACUAAACUAAAUCUCCCACUGGGAAAGAAAUGUCUAUGGUCUCUCAGUGACAAGAACACAAAAGGAAAUGUGAGAAAAGACAACAGAAGUCUUAGACAAAGAUAGACUUUAGAGGAAUAUCUAAUAAUCAUCUUUCUGUUCUCCCUAUGUAGGUAGAGCAUUUAGAAUAACAAGUCAUGAGAAUCACAGAAUUGUAGGGGUUGGAAGGGACCUUCUCCAGAGAAGGAGACAAGGAGACUCCAUCACCUCUCCGGGCAGUCUGUUUCAGUUUCUGUCACCCUCAAAGUAAAGAAGUUUUUCCUCAUGUUCGUAUGGAACUUCCUGUCUUCCAGUUGGCGCCUGUUGUCCCUUGUCCUGUCACUGGGCACCACUGAAAAGUAUCUGACUCCAUCCUUUUGACUCCCGUCCUUUGGACACUUAUAAGCACUGUUAAAAUCCUCUCUCAGUCUUCUCCAGGCUGAACAGUCCCAGGCCUCACAGCCUUUCCUCACACUGGAGAUGCUCCAGCCCCUCACCAUAUUUGUGGCCCACUGAUGGGCUCUCUCUAGAAGUUUCUAGUCUUUCUUGAACUUAAGAGCCAAGAACUGGACCCAGCACCCAAACGUAGCCUCAUCAGGGUGGAGUAAAGGAGGAAGAUCACCUCCCUUGACCUGCUGGCCAUGCUCUUUUUAAUACCCCCAAGGAUAGCACUGGCCUUCUUGGCCACAAGGGCACACUACUGGCUCACGGCUGACCUGCUGUCCACCAGGUCCUUCUCCAUAGAGAGAAGUACCCAUCACACUGGGGACAUGUAUUACAGGCUGUCACUGUUCUUGGUCAUCCAUGGAAGGGCUCCCAGAAACUCAAGAUGCAGAAGCCAGUUGCCGGUUCUGCAAUAAGAGCCUCAAGGCUACCAAGCUUUCUCUUUCUUUAAGCUUUGUCUCCCUCAUGCCCAGAUCAUUCUCAGUUGCAAACCCAUCUGAUUUUAUCCAGGAUGGGUUUAUAACUAUCUCACUUGACCCUCACCUUUUUCUCUCCUCCACACUGAUCUUCCCUGCUCUGGACAAUUCUUCUGGUCUCCUGUUCCUCCUCCUGUUCCACUCCAGUUUCUAUACACUUCUUCACACCUACUUCCUUCUCCUAUCUCUUAUCUGUUCUUAAACCCCUGCCUUAGUACGCCCUCCUUUCCCUCUGUUUCCUUCCUUUCUGCCAGCACUUUUUAGUUUCCAGUUCUGAGUCUUUUUUUAGAACUCAUCUGUGAUGUGAAUUUUACCUUCUUAUUAAAGCAUUAAAAAAUAAAUCUAUACCCAACAUACUGCUGCUAAAAUGUAAUAAAAGAAUUCAAUUAUAUAAUGUCUUGGAUUUUUGUUGUAAUUCUCAUAUUAAAAGUCAUGUUCAGUAUUAACAAAAUCAGAGUCAAAAAUCAAUUUUCUUUACCGAUGAACUACAGGUAGCAUAAAUAAAGAAGAAAAAAUGAAUUACAAAUAUCAUGCAGGUACCGUGCCUUCAUAUUUUUAUAACCAUAAUCAGUAAAUUUUAUACUAAUAAGAUACAAGAUGUAAAAGUGAAGAAUGUGUUUAGUCAAUUAUUGUCAGUCAAUAUCUAUACAACAGGAUAAGAAUAAUCUUGAAUGGCAACACACCAAUUAUUAUAAAUUCCUAAGUAUUUCAUUACUUUCAAAUGUCACUCAAUUUACAGAGUCACAGAUAAACACCUCUUAAUUGUACACCUCACUGUGUCUACCUCUUCGCAAUUGAAACACUGUUUUUGAAAAGUUGUGUCAUCAUGUCCCCAUUCUGCAUUGUUCUGAACAGUGAUUCUGUACCAGCAUAGUUCUGGUUUUCAAGAUUGCUUUUAAUCUCCCUUUAAACAAAUACACUUUAGACAUAUAAAUCUAUUUUUCCUUUCUACUUACAGCUUAAUCUGGUAAUUGCAAAAAAAACCUGAUUACUGCUCCCUGGUAUGAGCAUAUUCCACUGCAAAAGCAAACAGUUACUCAUGACUAAUAAUCACUAAAAGGAAACAAACAUGAAAAUAACAGUAAACCAAUAAGGAGGAGAUUUUCUUUUUGAAAGAGAGAUCUAACUACAUACACAAAAGAGAUUUAUUGUUUUUAUCUCAGGUAUUGGAAGAGGCACGUUAAAAUGUGCCAUACCCACCUUCAUUGGCUAAAGAGACAUUUGGUUAUGUUUGCAUCCCCAGUGAUUUGUGGAAGCCAGUAGGCAUCUGCAAUAACUUUCAA